AGCCCCGUGGUGUAGUGGUCAAGCAUGGCGGGCUUUGGACCCGCCGACGGCAGUUCGAAUCUGCCCGGGGCUA
rnacentral:tRNA from 1 species